rnacentral:lncRNA from 1 species
CCGUUCUAGAGAAGUGGAGUGUGUUCUACAGGCUUACAUCUCGCUGCGCGUUCUACAAAUUGUGCAGCUCCUUUGUGAGGUAUGAAUCGUGCCCACGCCUCUCCCGUUCCAGUUCUUCUACUAACUAAUGUGAGUUUUCCCGAGACGAGUUGCGGUCCUGCUGAUUGCUGGAUUUUUAGAAGAUAAUCAAUAGAGGUGUUGGUUAGUAUUAGCUGCAGGAGAGGAAAGCGCUGGGUGCUCCCGUCGUCGCACACGGCCGCUCAGGAGAGCCGGCGGCUAUGGAGGACGUCGAGUGGCAGUGGCAGUCGCUCCCGCUUCUGCUACGAGUGUGUCAACGGUGUCGUCAGCCAUCGACCCCUCCAUUUCGGGCUUGCUCGAGGUACAAGAUGCAUCCGUCAAUCUCAUCGCUACGAAAUUUGUUGAAGCUGCAAGUCUGAUUAAUCAAUCCAUUCCACCGAUGUUGUUUCAGUAUUUGCCAUGCUUUUGUUUUAAUUGUGUUUUGCACUGACAGUCAGUACAAGUAGUAGAAUAGAGUGUCAAGCAUAUCAGACAUACAUAACCUGGUCCCAU